CACAAGCGGUGGAUGAUGUGGAUUAAUUCGAUGCAACGCGAAAACCUUACCUACCCUUGACAUGUCCAGAACCCUGCAGAGAUGCGGGGGUGCCCGAAAGGGAAUUGGAACACAGGUGCUGCAUGGCUGUCGUCAGCUCGUGUCGUGAGAUGUUGGGUUAAGUCCCGCAACGAGCGCAACCCUUAUCAUUAGUUGCUACGCAAGGGCACUCUAAUGAGACUGCCGGUGACAAACCGGAGGAAGGUGGGGAUGACGUCAAGUCCUCAUGGCCCUUAUGGGUAGGGCUUCACACGUCAUACAAUGGUCGGUACAGAGGGUUGCCAAGCCGCGAGGUGGAGCCAAUCCCAGAAAGCCGAUCGUAGUCCGGAUUGUUCUCUGCAACUCGAGAGCAUGAAGUCGGAAUCGCUAGUAAUCGCGGAUCAGCAUGUCGCGGUGAAUACGUUCCCGGGUCUU
rnacentral:rRNA from 1 species